rnacentral:lncRNA from 1 species
UUCCACUUUGAGUCCUUCAUGUACCCAUGGGUUUAUUGGCUUACAUGUUAUCAAUUUUUCUUUAAUCAAGCCAAUCUUUGCUGCCACAAGACAUUUCUCUAAGUCACUAACUCAUUUUCAAAGACUACUUAAGCCAAAAACAAGAAUUCUUACCGUUCUUUGCUUGAAUCACCAAAACCAAGCUUUUUCUUCUUUUCUCUCUUUUUCUUUCUUCUCCUUCUAGGGUUCAGAUGUGCUGGAAAUUGGGGUUAAAGGCUGUAAAUUUAGUGCUCAAGAAGUUUGGAGAAGAAAGGAAAAGAAAACAUGGAAAGGAAAGUGAAGAAAACUUGAUUUCAUGGUGGAUAAAGAGAAAAUGGAAUGGAAGCUUCAAGAAUGGCGUAGAGCAUGG